UACGGAGGGUGCAAGCGUUAUCCGGAUUCACUGGGUUUAAAGGGUGCGUAGGUGGGCAGGUAAGUCAGUGGUGAAAUCCCCGAGCUUAACUUGGGAACUGCCGUUGAUACUAUCUGUCUUGAAUAUCGUGGAGGUAAGCGGAAUAUGUCAUGUAGCGGUGAAAUGCUUAGAGAUGACAUAGAACACCAAUUGCGAAGGCAGCUUGCUACACAGUUAUUGACGCUGAGGCACGAAAGCGUGGGGAUCAAACAGG
rnacentral:rRNA from 1 species